UCAAAGGGUAACAGCCCAGAUCACCAGUUAAGGCCCCAAAAUAUAUACUAAGUGAUAAAGGAUGUGUUGGUACGUAUACAACCAGGAGGUUUGCUUAGAAGCAGCAACAUACCUUUAAAGAUUGCGUAAUAGCUCACUGGUCAAGUGCCUUUGCGCCGAUAAUGUAAGGGACUAAGUAUUUUGCCGAAACUGUGAGUUAUGUUUUUUCGGUAGGAGAGCGUUCUGUUUUGUUAGAAGUAUUUGUGAAAAUAAAUAUGGACUUCACAGAAGUGAGAAUGUCGGCUUAAGUAACGAAAACAUUGGUGGAAAUCCAAUGCCCCGUAAGCCUAAGGUUUCCUUUGGAAGGUUCGUCCGCAGAGGGUUAGUCAGGUUCUAAAAUGAUAUCAAAUGGUGUAGUUGAUGAUUAACAGGUUAAUAUUCCUGUACUGCUUUGAAUACAAUUAAGAGGGACAAAGUUGGCUUAGCUAUCCAGAGAUUGGUUGUUUUGGUGUAAGUUUUAAUACGAUGAGAGGUUUAAGACAAAAAAUUCCUUGAGUAGAGAAGUGAUGCAUAAAGUGUUACGACAUUUAAUUAGUUUUAGUCAUGCUUUCUAGAAAAGCUUUUGUAGUGUAACAUUCAAAGUACCUGUACCGUAAACUGACACAGGUGGGUGAGUAGAAUAUACUAAGGGGAGCGAGUGAACUCUUUUUAAGGAACUCGGCAAAAUAGCUUUGUAACUUCGGGAGAAAAAGUACCUCAAAAUUUGAGGUCGCAGUGAAUUGGUCCAAGUGACUGUUUAUCAAAAACACAGGUCUCCGCAAAGUUGAAAAACAAUGUAUGGGGGCCGACGCCUGCCCAGUGCCGGAAGGUUAAGGAAAUUGGUUAGCUUUAUUGCAAAGCUAGUGACUGAAGCCCCGGUGAACGGCCGCGUUAACUAUGAACGUGGUAAUGUAGCGAAAUUCCUUGUCGGGUAAGUUCCGACCCGCACGAAAGGCGUAACAAUUUGGACACUGUCUCAAAAAGAGUCUCGGUGAAAUAGAAUUAACUGUGAAGAUGCGGUUAACUUGCACUUGGACAGAAAGACCCUAUGAAGCUUCACUGUAACUUGGUACUGAUUUUGGAUCUCUUUUGUGCAGAAUAGGUGGGAAGCUGCGAUUCAUUCCUUAGGGAUAAGAUGAGCUAUCAGUGAGAUACCACCCUUAAGGGAUUAUGAAUCUAAUUGUGUUCCUUAUUUAAUUAUUUAUAGGACAUUUGAUAAUGCUAGGUGGGCAGUUUUACUGGGGCGGUAGCCUCCUAAAAGGUAACGGAGGCGUACAAAGGUUUCUUCAAAUAGGACGGAAAUUUGUUUUAGAGCAUAAAGGUAUAAGGAAGCUUAACUGUUAGACUUACAAGUCGAGCAGAGACGAAAGUCGGUCUUAGUGAUCCGACGGUUCUGUAUGUGAAGGCCGUCGCUUAACGGAUAAAAGUUACUCUAGGGAUAACAGGCUGAUCUCCUCCAAGAGUUCAUAUCGACGAGGAGGUUUGGCACCUCGAUGUCGGCUCAUCGCAUCCUGGAGCGGUAGUACGUUCCAAGGGUCGGGUUGUUCACCCGUUAAAGCGGUACGUGAGCUGGGUUCAGAACGUCGAGAGACAGUUCGGUCCAUAUCCGGUGUGAGCGUUAGAGUAUUGAAGGGAUCUUCUUCUAGUACGAGAGGACCGAAGAAGAUACACCUCUGGUGUACCAGUUCUUAUGCCAAUAGGAAAUGCUGGGUAGUCAAGUGUGGA
rnacentral:rRNA from 1 species